AGUGAACGCUGGCGGUAGGCCUAGCACAUGCAAGUCGAACGGCAGCACAGUAAGAGCUUGCUCUUACGGGUGGCGAGUGGCGGACGGGUGAGGAAUACAUCGGAAUCUACUUUUUCGUGGGGGAUAACGUAGGGAAACUUACGCUAGUACCGCAUACGACCUACGGGUGAAAGCAGGGGAUCUUCGGACCUUGCGCGAUUGAAUGAGCCGAUGUCGGAUUAGCUAGUUGGCGGGGUAAAGGCCCACCAAGGCGACGAUCCGUAGCUGGUCUGAGAGGAUGAUCAGCCACACUGGAACUGAGACACGGUCCAGACUCCUACGGGAGGCAGCAGUGGGGAAUAUUGGACAAUGGGCGCAAGCCUGAUCCAGCCAUACCGCGUGGGUGAAGAAGGCCUUCGGGUUGUAAAGCCCUUUUGUUGGGAAAGAAAAGCAGCAGGUUAAUACCCCGCUGUUCUGACGGUACCCAAAGAAUAAGCACCGGCUAACUUCGU
rnacentral:rRNA from 1 species